rnacentral:rRNA from 1 species
UACAGAGGUGGCAAGCGUUGUUCGGAAUUACUGGGCGUAAAGGGCGCGUAGGCGGUCUUGUAAGUCCCGUGUGAAAUCCCUCGGCUCAACUGAGGAACUGCACGGGAAACUGCUUGGCUUGAGUUCGGGAGAGGGAAGCGGAAUUCCGGGUGUAGCGGUGAAAUGCGUAGAUAUCCGGAGGAACACCGGUGGCGAAGGCGGCUUCCUGGACCGGUAUUGACGCUGAGGCGCGAAAGCUAGGGGAGCAAACGGG